CCUACGGGAGGCAGCAGUGGGGAAUAUUUGGCAAUGGGCGCAAGCCUGACCCAGCGACGCCGCGUGAAGGAAGAAGGCUUUCGGGUUGUUAACUUCCUUUAAGGGGGAAGAGAAUAAGACGGUACCCCUUGAAUAAGCCACGGCUAACUAAGUGCCAGCAGCCGCGGUAAUACGUAGGUGGCAAGCGUUGUCCGGAUUGACUGGGUGUAAAGGGCGUGCAGCCGGAGAGACAAGUCAGAUGUGAAAUCCACGGGCUCAACCCGUGAACUGCAUUUGAAACUGUUUCCCUUGAGUGUCGGAGAGGUAAUCGGAAUUCCUGGUGUAGCGGUGAAAUGCGUAGAUAUAAGGAAGAACACUAGUGGCGAAGGCGGAUUACUGGACGAUAACUGACGGUGAGGCGCGAAAGCGUGGGGAGCAAACAGGAUUAGAUACCCUAGUAGUC
rnacentral:rRNA from 1 species